UGGGGAGAGGGAGAGGGAGAGGUGGGUGUGUGUGUUGGGGGGGCUGGGAGGGGCCAGGGCUUCCUGGCCUCGGUUUCCCUUUCUUGGCUCAGGCGCUCCCUGGGAGGAAGGGGGCUGCCUGGGUAGGGUCCCCAGAGAGCAGCCUCAGAGAGAGGGCCCUGGAGGUUGGGCGGCCUCCCGUCUCCCCAGGCCUCCUCUAGCCUGGGUCCCGCCCCCCACUUUGUCCUCACCCUCAGUAGUUUCUGCUUAAUGAGGACUCACCACUCCCUCCUUGCUCCAGGGGAGAACAUGAGGGCUUAAUCAUUCCCAAUCAAAGCAAGAGUGAACCAGGCCAGCAGCCUCCUUUGCUACAUGCUCCAGGUUGGCACAGUCGCUCUGGGCUGCCUUCCUGGGCCAGUUGAGGCGGGGGUGUUGUUAGGGCUCGGCCUUUCCUGGUUCCUCAACCAGUUGCAAGCGUUGGAUGGGAGUCCUGGCUCGGUCUGUCCUUGGAGGCACAGGGCCGGCCCAGAGGAACCCCAGAAGGCCCAGGGGGAGCUCUAGGAUCCUUUGGGGGGCCCCGAUGGCAUUUAGGAAAGGAGAUAAGAAUUGGUCCACGAACCUACCCAGCAGGGGCAGGGUUCUGGCUGAGACGCUGUUCAGAAGUCCUUAGGGAAAGGGGAAGAGGUGCUGGGAAGCUGAUGGAGCUACCAGUUGUAGAUCUCGCUGACUGGAAGGCUGCCUGUUUUGCUGUUCUUGAGGGCCAUGAAGAUAAGGAUGCUAAAGGAAGAGAGAGACCUCUAAAAUUUUACUACUUUGACACCGUCCUCUUUCCCCCAGCCUUCUUGAGCCCUACUUAAUAGGGACAAAACAGGCCCAGAGAGAAGGGACUUGCCUGAGACUCCACAGUAAAUAAAUAGUAUAUUUCAAAUAAAAACACAAAUAUUGACCACAUUAGUGUAUAGCAUUAUUUUUAUCAUACCAUGUGGCUCCCCUAACUUCACUAAUCUCUCUUUCUCAUCUCUUCUCUUUUCAUCCUACUGUUUGCCAACCCUCAAUUUUAGGUAAUAAAAAUUGUCCAUUUUACCUUUUAUCAUUAUCACUAUGCUUUACUUGAUCAAGAACUUUUCUCCUGUCCAUAGCUAU